rnacentral:rRNA from 1 species
GACGAACGCUGGCGGCGUGCCUAAUACAUGCAAGUUGAGCGCUGAAGGUUGGUCCUUGUACCAACUGGAUGAGCAGCGAACGGGUGAGUAACGCGUGGGGAAUCUGCCUUUGAGCGGGGGACAACAUUUGGAAACGAAUGCUAAUACCGCAUAAAAACUUUAAACACAAGUUUUAAGUUUGAAAGAUGCAAUUGCAUCACUCAAAGAUGAUCCCGCGUUGUAUUAGCUAGUUGGUGAGGUAAAGGCUCACCAAGGCGAUGAUACAUAGCCGACCUGAGAGGGUGAUCGGCCACAUUGGGACGGAGACACGGCCCAAACUCCUACGGGAGGCAGCAGUAGGGAAUCUUCGGCAAGGGACGAAAGUCUGACCGAGCAACGCCGCGUGAGUGAAGAAGGGUGUCGGAUCGUAAAACUCUGUUGGUAGAGAAGAACGUUGGUGAGAGUGGAAAGCUCAUCAAGUGACGGUAACUACCCAGAAAGGGACGGCUAACUACGUG